rnacentral:tRNA from 1 species
GGAGUUAUAGCUCAGUGGUAGAGCACAUGUUUAACAUGCAUGAGGCCAUGGUUCAAUCUCCACUACCUCCG